CAGUCGCCACGGGAAUACGAAGGGUGCAAGCGUUACUCGGAAUUACUGGGCGUAAAGCGUGCGUAGGUGGUGGUUUAAGUCCGUUGUGAAAGCCCUGGGCUCAACCUGGGAAUUGCAGUGGAUACUGGGUCACUAGAGUGUGGUAGAGGAUGGUGGAAUUCCCGGUGUAGCGGUGAAAUGCGUAGAGAUCGGGAGGAACAUCAGUGGCGAAGGCGGCCAUCUGGGACAACACUGACGCUGAGGCACGAAAGCGUGGGGAGCAAACAGGAUUAGAUACCCCCGUAGUCCCUGUCUCUUAUAC
rnacentral:rRNA from 1 species